UACAGAGGGUGCAAGCGUUAAUCGGAAUUACUGGGCGUAAAGCGUGCGUAGACGGUUACAUAAGUCAGAUGUGAAAGCCCCGGGCUACAACCUGGGAAUUGCAUUUGACGACUGCGUAGCUAGGGUGCGGAAGAGGGAAGCGGAAUUUCCGGUGUAGCGGUGAAAUGACGUAGAUAUCGGAAGGAACACCAGUGGCGAAAGCGG
rnacentral:rRNA from 1 species